AAUCCAAUCAAGCCUGGCUUGGUAUUGGGCGCCGGGACUCUUCCGCGCCCCAAUUUCACCGGCUGGCCGUCGCCUGUCUUAGCGUUGUGACAUACCUCUCGCUGACGACAGGACCGGUGCACGCCGUUAGAAUCUAACGAAUUUCAAUCGAAAUUCGAUCAA
rnacentral:misc_RNA from 1 species